rnacentral:misc_RNA from 1 species
CCUUUCUACGGAGAAUUCGGUCGGAUGUUUGUCCGACGGUGUGUGCCCCCGGGGCCGGAUGGUCCGGCCGGUCGGGGGUUGCUGGUGUGGAAGAUGGUCGUUGGCUUGUGGGUCCGCCCGUCGUGGGGUGGCCCGUGGGGUGGUGCGGGCAUGCUUUUGGGUUCCCGGACCGCCACCCCGGGAUUGGUUUCCCGGCGCGGUCUGUCGGCCCCGCGGGAUCGCCGGCGCGUUGGUUCGCGUGCGGUUGGUUCGGCGGGUGCGUGGUGGUUUGAGAACUGGAUAGUGGACGCGAGCGGGAGAACGCCGUUGUUGGUGUUUUCCUGUUCUGUGAUUUCAAUGACUCCGGCCGGCUUCUUGUUGUUGCUGGUCGUGGGUUUUUGUUUGAUCGUUUUGUGAUCGUUUAGUGUGAUGAUUUGUCGUCAGCGUUUUUCGCCGUGGGCUUGUUGCGGGUUGAUCCGUGUUGGGUUGCUUGC